rnacentral:rRNA from 1 species
AGAGUUUGAUCCUGGCUCAGAUUGAACGCUGGCGGCAUGCCUAACACAUGCAAGUCGAACGGAAACGACAGGAGCUUGCUCCUGGGCGUCGAGUGGCGGACGGGUGAGUAACGCAUAGGAAUCUGCCCAUGUAGUGGGGGACAACCUGGGGAAACUCAGGCUAAUACCGCAUGAGCCCUUCGGGGGAAAGCAGGGGAUCUUCGGACCUUGCGCUAUUGGAUGAGCCUAUGUCUGAUUAGCUUGUUGGUGGGGUAACGGCCUACCAAGGCGACGAUCAGUAGCUGGUCUGAGAGGACGAUCAGCCACACUGGGACUGAGACACGGCCCAGACUCCUACGGGAGGCAGCAGUGGGGAAUAUUGCACAAUGGGGGAAACCCUGAUGCAGCAAUGCCGCGUGUGUGAAGAAGGCCUGCGGGUUGUAAAGCACUUUCAAUUGUGAAGAAAAGCCUAGGGAUAAUACCCCUGAGUCUUGACGUUAACUUUAGAAGAAGCACCGGCUAACUCCGUGCCAGCAGCCGCGGUAGUACUGAGGGUGCAAGCGUUAAUCGGAAUUACUGGGCGUAAAGCGCACGUAGUGGUUUUGUUAGUCAGA